rnacentral:misc_RNA from 1 species
AGAGAACCGCCGGCGCAAGCCGGUUCUACCCCACACACACCUGUGAACCGUUAUCUUGGACGGGAUUAGCCCUCGGGCGAAACCGUCCUCUCACAAACAUCUUAUAAUGUCAUGAACGUAGUCUUAUUUUAACAAAUA